AUACGGAGGAUCCGAGCGUUAUCCGGAUUUAUUGGGUUUAAAGGGAGCGUAGGCGGACUAUUAAGUCAGCUGUGAAAGUUUGCGGCUCAACCGUAAAAUUGCAGUUGAUACUGGUCGUCUUGAGUGCAGUAGAGGUAGGCGGAAUUCGUGGUGUAGCGGUGAAAUGCUUAGAUAUCACGAAGAACUCCGAUUGCGAAGGCAGAUUACUGGACUGUAACUGACGCUGAUGCUCGAAAGUGUGGGUAUCAAACAGGAUUAGGUACCCUGGUAGUCCACACAGUAAACGAUGGAUACUCGCUGUUUGCGAUAUACGGCAAGCGGCCAAGCGAAAGCAUUAAGUAUUCCACCUGGGGAGUACGCCGGCAACGGUGAAACUCAAAGGAAUUGACGGGG
rnacentral:rRNA from 1 species